UACGUAGGCAGCGAGCGUUGUUCGGAGUUACUGGGCGUAAAGCGUGCGUAGGCGGUUUUCCAAGUUUGGUGUGAAAUCUCCCGGCUUAACCGGGAGGGUGCGCCGAAAACUGGGAGGCUGGAGUAUGGGAGAGGUAGGCGGAAUUCCUGGUGUAGCGGUGAAAUGCGUAGAUAUCAGGAGGAACACCUGUGGUGUAGACGGCUUACUGGACCAUGACUGACGCUGAGGCACGAAAGCGUGGGGAGCAAACAGG
rnacentral:rRNA from 1 species